UAACAGAAUGGUGGUUCAUGUGAGUCAUUGGCUGUGUCAUUGUCUUCCGGGGGUCUUGCCAUGUUGUAAUUUUCUCCACAUGACUUAGGAAAUUCCUCUGACCA